rnacentral:lncRNA from 1 species
UUCCAUGUUGCGUGCACUGAGCGGAGAGGAUAAAAAGGGGUUGGACGGAGGAGCCUCUGCCCUCGCUAUUUGAUGCGGCGCAGGCAGGACGGAGGGGAGGGAGAAGAAGGGGGCCCCUGCGCUAGCGGUACUCGUUCCGGCGCCGGGACACUAGUCUGGUGGCGAGCGACUCUUCCCUGGGGCGCUGGACUCCGGUGAGUUUUACACUCUUUCCUCAGCGCAUAUUCCAGGGACCAUAGCGGUCAUCUUUGCCACUCGGCACUGUCGGGGCCUAGGGGUCUCCAGGAUCCUGUGGGGUUCGGCGGCGGCACUAGGCACCUGCCAUGGGCGCGGUCGGCUGUGCCCGGAUGUCGCAGGAAGGAAGACACCGAUAGGUCCGUAGAUCAGGAAGCUGGCGGCCGGGAUUGUCUGACGUACUCGUAUAACGGGGAAAUCAAUCCUGACCGUAGAUCAGACCAGACUACCUAGGCGUGGGAAAUGACCUCGGGAUGGCUGGGCACGUCGCCGUAGCAUGUGAGCGCUAGGUUGAAGACGCAAGUUGUGCCCUUGAUCCUGAGAUGGACGGCUAGGAUUAGUUGAUAUCAUACCCCUUCGCCGCAUUAAACCGGAGCCGCAGAUUCUCAGAUGAGCAGUCCCGAUUUGAACGCGAAUACCUCUUUGCGUGAUCCGAUGUGGGGCCUUGUUUUCUGAUCGGACGACUCUAACCACCCGAUACCCCUUCGGCGCACUAGUUUUGCAAAAGAGACCCUAUAGAAUUUCUUAUUAAACCCGCCAUCCGUCAGGGAGGUAACCUGAGUCUGCCAGAUUUUUGCUAGUUUAACCCUGAGUUUGUCUGUAAUAAUGUGCGCGACCCAGGAACAGAGAAAUCUGUUAUUUAAAUAUAGAAAUUGAAUUUUAGUACACAAAUAAAUCCAGAAACUUGUAUAAUUCAUAUUUAAUUCAUUUUAGCUUCGAAUUAAUUUAUUCUAGUUGCAUUAGACUCAUAUUAAUAUUGUUUAUCAUCCAGUAACUUUACUUCGUUAUGAAACUUAGAUUAAAAAUUAUGCACUUAGUUUCUUUUAAUCCAAUACUUAAAACUUUGGAAAUCCAUAACUUCUCUGUUUUAACUCCGAUUUGAUUCGUUCUAGUUGUGUUAGUCUUGUAUGAAUAUUUACUACGCAGUAACAACAUUAAUUAUACAUGUCUCAUACUUUUAUAUUAGAUAUCUAUUUACCCUUUGUUAAUUGUAUUUACCUCUGUCUAUUGGAUUAACCUAUGAUCUUAUGAUCAUAAUUUGAUUAGAUGAUCUUUAAUCAAAUAAUAAAGUUGAGAUAAUUAUUUAUAGAAUAACCUCUCAUAUGAAUUAUAUUAAUUAAAUUAUAAUAUAGUUUAAUAUUUUAAUCACACAGACCUUUUAUGAAAUCAUAACUCCUUAAUCGUAACUUCGAUCUUAGUAGUUCUCGAUCCCGCGAUCUCGUAGCGAUGCGUAGACUAUUAUUAUGCAGUUUGUUCUUAUGUUUGGUGUGAUGUUAAUUUUGUCUAUACCAUGUUUGUUUGUGUUGCUACGACUAGCGCGAGGUUUCAAGGAUUUAAAGAAUCACCCUGGUAACCGGAAUCUCAAGUGUCAGGCAAGUUGUGCCCUUGAUCAC